rnacentral:rRNA from 1 species
UACGUAGGUGGCAAGCGUUGUCCGGAUUUACUGGGCGUAAAGGGCGCGUAGGCGGUCCGAUAAGUCCUGUGUGAAAUCCCUCGGCUCAACUGAGGAACUGCACGGGAGACUGCCGGGCUUGAGUUCGGGAGAGGGAAGCGGAAUUCCGGGUGUAGCGGUGAAAUGCGUAGAUAUCCGGAGGAACACCGGUGGCGAAGGCGGCUUCCUGGACCGACACUGACGCUGAGGCGCGAAAGCUAGGGGAGCAAACGGG